AUUGGGGUGGCAGAGCGUGGUAAUUGCAAAAGGCCUAAGCCCUUUAAAUCAGGGGUUCAAAUCCCCUCCCCAGUU
rnacentral:tRNA from 1 species